ACUUAUAUAAUAUAAAACAUUAUAUUUGACUUCCAAUCAAAAAAUCUAGAAAUAGUAUAAGUA
rnacentral:tRNA from 1 species